ensembl:piRNA 21ur-9818 ncRNA
UUACUUUAAUUUGAAAGGCUC